rnacentral:lncRNA from 1 species
UGUAUUGGCAAUGCACUUGGGCUUCUUGUGCAUCUUUACUUUUUAUCUGACCCACGUGUCCUGAAAAAUCUUACAGGUUUCUGAAAACCCUGGUCACUCUAUAGGAAUAUAUAAAUGAUGGCUCCAAAUUUUUAGCCUGAGAAAUGGAAGAAUUGUGUAUGAAGAAACAGAGGUUAAGAGAAGUUAAGUGGAUUGAUCAAGUCCAUAUAACUAUUAAGGAGAAUAAUCUUUGAACUGCAUAGGACAGAAGAAAAAUGGCUAAAGGGAAUUUUAUAGCCAAGAAGAACAAGAAGAAGAGCACCUAGCUGCCUUUGAUGAGUUAAAAAUUACCUGCUCCUGAUCAAUAACACUCUACGGUACUGAAAGAAAUAGCAGAUUGGAUUGCUGAACUAUAUAAUCUUUGAAAUCUCAUUAAAAAAAUCUUUGGAAAACGAAAGUUAUUUUGAAGAACUUAGUUUUAGAAAAGAUUCUUAUGCCACAUGCAACAAUGGGUUUUAAUGAAUAUGGAUCCUCAAAAUAAAAGGUCAAAUAUUUUAGUAGAAGAGAUGAUA